ACCGAAAUAGCUGAGUUGGGAGAGCGUUAGAAUAUAGAUCGAACAGUCCCUGGUUCGAUUCCGGGUUCCGGCA
rnacentral:tRNA from 1 species